rnacentral:rRNA from 1 species
UACCUGCAGCUCGAGUGGUAACCGCUAUUAUUGGGCCCAAAGCGUCCGUAGCCGGUUUGGUAAAUAUCUGGGUAAAUCGUGAGGCUUAACUUCACGAAUUUCGGACAGACUGCCAGACUUGGGAUCGGGGGAGGUCAGAGGUACUCCAGGGGUAGCGGUGAAAUGUUGUAAUCCUUGGAGGACCACCGGUAGCGAAGGCGUCUGACUAGAACGAGUCCGACGGUGAGGGACGAAGCCCUGGGGCGCAAACCGGAUUAGAUACCCGGGUAGUCCAGGGUGUAAACGAUGUGGGCUUUGUAUUGGAGGUCCCACGUGGGCGUCCAGUGCAGAAGAGAAGUUGUUAAGCCCACCGCCUGGGAAGUACGGUCGCAAGGCUGAAACUUAAAGGAAUUGGCGGGGAGCACGAGCAACGGGAGGAGCGUGCGGUU